GGGUUGUGAGGUUAAGCGACUAAGCGUACACGGUGGAUGCCCUGGCAGUCAGAGGCGAUGAAGGACGUGCUAAUCUGCGAAAAGCGACGGCGAGGUGAUAUGAACCUUUGACCCGUCGAUGUCCGAAUGGGGAAACCCAGUGUGUUUCGACACACUAUCGUUAACUGAAUACAUAGGUUAACGAGGCGAACCGGGGGAACUGAAACAUCUAAGUACCCCGAGGAAAAGAAAUCAACCGAGAUUCCCCCAGUAGCGGCGAGCGAACGGGGAGCAGCCCGGAGUCUGAAUCAGCUUGUGUGUUAGUGGAAGCGUCUGGAAAGUCGCACGGUACAGGGUGACAGUCCCGUACACGAAAAUGCACAGGUUGUGAACUCGAAGAGUAGGGCGGGACACGUGGUAUCCUGUCUGAAUAUGGGGGGACCAUCCUCCAAGGCUAAAUACUCCUGACUGACCGAUAGUGAACCAGUACCGUGAGGGAAAGGCGAAAAGAACCCCGGCGAGGGGAGUGAAAAAGAACCUGAAACCGUGUACGUACAAGCAGUGGGAGCACCUUCGUGGUGUGACUGCGUACCUUUUGUAUAAUGGGUCAGCGACUUAUAUUCUGUAGCAAGGUUAACCGUAUAGGGGAGCCGCAGGGAAACCGAGUCUUAACUGGGCGUUAAGUUGCAGGGUAUAGACCCGAAACCCGGUGAUCUAGCCAUGGGCAGGUUGAAGGUUGGGUAACACUAACUGGAGGACCGAACCGACUAAUGUUGAAAAAUUAGCGGAUGACCUGUGGCUGGGGGUGAAAGGCCAAUCAAACCGGGAGAUAGCUGGUUCUCCCCGAAAGCUAUUUAGGUAGCGCCUCGUGAACUCAUCUUCGGGGGUAGAGCACUGUUUCGGCUAGGGGGCCAUCCCGGCUUACCAACCCGAUGCAAACUACGAAUACCGAAGAAUGUUAUCACGGGAGACACACGGCGGGUGCUAACGUCCGUCGUGAAGAGGGAAACAACCCAGACCGCCAGCUAAGGUCCCAAAGUCAUGGUUAAGUGGGAAACGAUGUGGGAAGGCACAGACAGCCAGGAUGUUGGCUUAGAAGCAGCCAUCAUUUAAAGAAAGCGUAAUAGCUCACUGGUCGAGUCGGCCUGCGCGGAAGAUGUAACGGGGCUAAACCAUGCACCGAAGCUGCGGCAGCGACACUAUGUGUUGUUGGGUAGGGGAGCGUUCUGUAAGCCGUUGAAGGUGUGCUGUGAGGCAUGCUGGAGGUAUCAGAAGUGCGAAUGCUGACAUAAGUAACGAUAAAGCGGGUGAAAAGCCCGCUCGCCGGAAGACCAAGGGUUCCUGUCCAACGUUAAUCGGGGCAGGGUGAGUCGACCCCUAAGGCGAGGCCGAAAGGCGUAGUCGAUGGGAAACAGGUUAAUAUUCCUGUACUUGGUGUUACUGCGAAGGGGGGACGGAGAAGGCUAUGUCAGCCGGGCGACGGUUGUCCCGGUUUAAGCGUGUAGGUGUGUGUUCCAGGCAAAUCCGGUUCACUUUAACACUGAGGCGUGAUGACGAGGCACUACGGUGCUGAAGUGAUAAAUGCCCUGCUUCCAGGAAAAGCCUCUAAGCAUCAGGUAACACGAAAUCGUACCCCAAACCGACACAGGUGGUCAGGUAGAGAAUACCAAGGCGCUUGAGAGAACUCGGGUGAAGGAACUAGGCAAAAUGGUGCCGUAACUUCGGGAGAAGGCACGCUGAUAUGUAGGUGAAGUCCCUGCGGACGGAGCUGAAAUCAGUCGAAGAUACCAGCUGGCUGCAACUGUUUAUUAAAAACACAGCACUGUGCAAACACGAAAGUGGACGUAUACGGUGUGACGCCUGCCCGGUGCCGGAAGGUUAAUUGAUGGGGUUAGCGGCAACGCGAAGCUCUUGAUCGAAGCCCCGGUAAACGGCGGCCGUAACUAUAACGGUCCUAAGGUAGCGAAAUUCCUUGUCGGGUAAGUUCCGACCUGCACGAAUGGCGUAAUGAUGGCCAGGCUGUCUCCACCCGAGACUCAGUGAAAUUGAACUCGCUGUGAAGAUGCAGUGUACCCGCGGCAAGACGGAAAGACCCCGUGAACCUUUACUAUAGCUUGACACUGAACACUGGUCCUUGAUGUGUAGGAUAGGUGGGAGGCUUUGAAGCGUGGACGACAGUCUGCGUGGAGCCGUCCUUGAAAUACCACCCUUUAAUGGCUGGUGUUCUAACGUGGACCAGUGAUACGGGUGGCGGACAGUGUCGGGUGGGUCGUCAGACUGAGGCGCUGUACUCCCAAAGAGUAACGGAGGAGCACGAAGGUUAGCUAAUCCUGGUCGGACAUCAGGAGGUUAGUGCAAUGGCAUAAGCUAGCUUGACUGCGAGAGUGACGGCUCGAGCAGGUGCGAAAGCAGGUCAUAGUGAUCCGGUGGUUCUGAAUGGAAGGGCCAUCGCUCAACGGAUAAAAGGUACUCCGGGGAUAACAGGCUGAUACCGCCCAAGAGUUCAUAUCGACGGCGGUGUUUGGCACCUCGAUGUCGGCUCAUCACAUCCUGGGGCUGAAGUAGGUCCCAAGGGUAUGGCUGUUCGCCAUUUAAAGUGGUACGCGAGCUGGGUUUAGAACGUCGUGAGACAGUUCGGUCCCUAUCUGCCGUGGGCGCUGGAGAAUUGAGGGGGGCUGCUCCUAGUACGAGAGGACCGGAGUGGACGCAUCACUGGUGUUCGGGUUGUCAUGCCAAUGGCACUGCCCGGUAGCUAAAUGCGGAAGAGAUAAGUGCUGAAAGCAUCUAAGCACGAAACUUGCCCCGAGAUGAGUUCUCCCUGAGACUUUAAGUCUCCUGAAGGAACGUUGAAGACGACGACGUUGAUAGGCCGGGUGUGUAAGCGCAGCGAUGCGUUGAGCUAACCGGUACUAAUGAACCGUGAGGCUUAACCUUACAACGCCGAAGCUGUU
rnacentral:rRNA from 1 species